rnacentral:rRNA from 1 species
GAUUUCUGGUUUGAUGUACCUGUCCCGCCUCGGUAACGGGGUCGAGUGACGGAGUAUGUCUGCCAUCCUUCUAGAGAAUAUAAACUAUCCUUUACUGGACCGGUUUAUAUCAUCUAGAUCUUUUACUUUGAAAAAAUUAGAGUGUUUAAAGCAGGCUUAUGCUGUGAAUACAUUAGCAUGGAAUAAUAAUUUAGGACUUCGGUUCUAUUUUGUUGGUUUCUAGGACUGAAGUAAUGAUUGAUAGGGACAGUUGGGGGUGCUAGUAUUCCGCGGCCAGAGGUGAAAUUCUUGGAUUCGCGGAAGACUAACUACUGCGAAAGCAUU